rnacentral:rRNA from 1 species
GAUGAACGCUGGCGGCGUGCUUAACACAUGCAAGUCGAACGGACUUUACAUGAAGCCUAGCGAAUGUAAAGUUAGUGGCGGACGGGUGAGUAACGCGUGGGUAACCUGCCAUAUACAGGGGGAUAACACUUAGAAAUAGGUGCUAAUACCGCAUAAGCGCACGGUUUCGCAUGAAACAGUGUGAAAAACUCCGGUGGUAUAUGAUGGACCCGCGUCUGAUUAGCUUGUUGGUGGGGUAACGGCCCACCAAGGCGACGAUCAGUAGCCGGCCUGAGAGGGUGAACGGCCACAUUGGGACUGAGACACGGCCCAA